rnacentral:rRNA from 1 species
AUCUGGGCGGCGGAAUUCAGGAUGACGGGCGCGUUUCGCGCGUCCGUCGUUUGAUAUUUCCGUCGCCGACUCAACCCGCAGACGUCGCGACCUGUUCGCGGUCGGUCCCUGCUCGGAGGAGUCACGUUCGAGUUUGUUGCGUGCGCGUUUCUGCGCGUUACGCGGCAAAGGCGUGAAUCUCUGGCUGACCGUCGGACAGUACGUUCAACGGUGUCCGGUGUCGUCGUCUCGUACGCGCGCGCACCGGUACCGGUCGGCGACGAAUUCUUCGGGCCUCUUUCCGACCCGUCUUGAAACACGGACCAAGGAGUCUAACAUGCGCGCGAGUCGCGGGGUGUCGAGCGUACUUCGGUGCGUUCGUUACGUUGCGAAACCCGUACAUGUCGAAGGCGAUAAUGAAAGUGAAUGGGGAAGAUGGUGUUCCGAGUACACGUUCCGCGGUCAUUGGUACCGCGGCCGGGCACCCGCAUUCCCGGGGCGUCUCAACGGCCCGUCGCGGAUGCGGGCAAUCGCCGGUCUGCGACGAACCGA